CCCCAUCUCACCCCCCCCUGCCUCCACUAACCUCCCAACCGUUUCUCUAUCUCCCGCCAAAUUUAAGAUCGCCAUCAACGCGUCCUUUUUCGAACAAGUGUUCCCACUCCUAGCUAAAUCCAUCAAUCCCUUUAUCACACGCGCUUUCCUCCCCAGUCGCUUCCGAAAUGAGUGCACACCUGAUAAGCUGAAUAUUGUAGCUGCCGCAUUUGCCUUUGCCUCCCACGUGGCACCCGACCACAGCACCUCAAUAACGCCGUUUAAAGCUCCGUCAGUUUCCAUUAUCUUUGUUUUGUUUGCUUCCAGAAUGGAGAGGUUGAGAAUUGUUGUUAUGGCAUUGACUUGUAGAUUCGGAAUCUCCGAACCUACGUCCGAGCCUAGGUAACGUAAGAGCAGAGGUAUGGCUCCAGCUUCGGCCAUACAGGUUCUGCUAUCCGAGUUUGUUUUUGCCAGCGCACGAAGUUCAUAUACGACGCCGUUAGCUGUUUCGAAUGACUGUGAAAGAGAAAGCUUGUUGACCAAAAAAGACACCGUCAUCUUUGUGGCCUCAAUCGCUGCCUUGUUUCUUAUAACGGCGUUAACGUUUUUGUUGUUGCCCGCUGUCUCGAAAGGAAUUUUCUGUUCCCGACACCACAUGCCAAUUAGAU
rnacentral:misc_RNA from 1 species